CUGGCGGGCGGCCUGCGGCAGAAAGCCCUUUGCAUCCUAAUCCUACAAGCAAUGUCCCACCUGCCACACUCAAGAGCCCUAUGAGGGUCUGCAGACCGUCUGUUUCCUCGCUUCCUGUCCUAACCUCACACCACAUUGUUUAUUGGGAAUGUGGGGAAUACCAAAAAUAAGACAUAAUCAAGCUCACCGCUUUGAUGGUUAAUCAGGAAACCUCACUUGCCGCCUAUUGGGAACACAUCGUUAGCCAAUGGAGAGGAACAAAUAUUUUGAAAGAAAGGUGGAAAUUUAAGUGGGGGGCUGCAAAAGAAGCCUAAUAUUACUCCUCAAAAGACAUUGCUACCAGAGCCACAUGCAUUUCUUUUUUCCUUGCCAAAAUAUUCAAACCAAGGUUUGUAGAAGAACUUUGAACCCCACACUUUAUAUCUGCACAUGGGAGCUGAGUUGAAUCUGUGCUUUGUUUUUUUAAUUUAUUGAGGAGGAAAAAAGCCUUAUCUGUAUGCAUUUGUAAAACCUAAUGCAUGACCUACUUUUUAUAUUACCUAAUUUUGAGAUUUUGGUUAACCCCCCCAUUCUCUUUAAGUCUCAGUUUCUUAUUCAAUAAAAUAUGUGGCUUGGACCAUUUGUUGCUAUGGUUCACUCUAGUUCUAAAAUGCCAUUCUCACCAAAUUUAAAUCAACUUCACCAUGGGGACAAAGCACGAGAAAUUUAUGGAAAAUGACAAGUCCUGAGCAUAGAACCACAUCCCUGAGCUGUGCCCUGGAGGAGAGUUGAGAAUGAACACCCAUUGAGAUUUAAAUGAAUGAGAAAUAAACCUUUGUGGGUUUUUUUUUUUUUUUUUUUUUUUUUUUGAGACUGAGUCUCGCUCUGUCGCCAGGCUGGAGUGCAGUGGCGCAAUCUCGGCUCACUGCAACCUCUGCCUCCCGAGUUCAAGUGAUUUUUCAGCUUCCAGAGUAGCUGGGACUAUAGGCGUGCACCACCACACCCAGCUAUUUUUUUGUAUUUUUAGUAGAGACGGAGUUUCACCAUGUUGGCCAGGAUGGUCUCCGAUCUCUUGACCUCGUGAUUCACCUGCCUCAGCUUCCCAAAGUGCUGGGAUUACAGGCAUGAGCCACUGUGCCAUGCCUGUCAUUUUUAAAUCUGUAUACAUUUGGGGGUUUAUUUUUUACAACAGCUACUGUUAACUAAUGUAUUUCUGGACUUCCAUUUCCUCAUUUAAAAAAAUGAGAGGCCGGGCAUGGUGGCUCACGCCUGUAAUCUCAGCACUUUAGGAGGCUGAGGCGGGCAGAUCACCUGAGGUCAGGAGUUCGAGACCA
rnacentral:lncRNA from 10 species